rnacentral:tRNA from 1 species
UGCCCCAUAUAAAAUGGAUGGACUAAAGACUCAUAAUCUUUUGGUCGCUGGUUCGAGCCCAGUUGGGAUGG